CCCUUAGAUGUUCUGGGCCGCACGCGCGCUACACUGAUGCAUUCAACGAGUCUAAAACCUGCUCUGAUAGGGGUGGGUAAUCUUUUGAAUGUGCAUCGUGAUUGGGAUAGAUGAUUGCAAUUUUUCAUCUUCAACGAGGAAUGCCUAGUAAACGCAAGUCAUCAGCUUGCAUUGAUUACGUCCCUGCCCUUUGUACACACCGCCCGUCGCUCCUACCGAUUGAAUGAUCCGAUGAAUAUCAUGGAUUGAGGAUGCAAGUAGGUUCGCCUAUCUUCAUCUUCGAGAAGUGAAGUAAAGCUUAUCAUUUAGAGGAAGGAGAAGUCGUAACA
rnacentral:rRNA from 1 species